rnacentral:rRNA from 1 species
GACGAACGCUGGCGGCGUGCUUAACACAUGCAAGUCGAACGGAAAGGCCCUGCUUUUGUGGGGUGCUCGAGUGGCGAACGGGUGAGUAACACGUGUGUAACCUGCCCUUGACUUUGGGAUAACUUCAGGAAAAUGGGGCUAAUACCGGAUAGGAGCUCCUGCUGCAUGGUGGGGGUUGGAAAGUUUCGGCGGUUGGGGAUGGACUCGCGGCUUAUCAGCUUGUUGGUGGGGUAGUGGCUUACCAAGGCUUUGACGGGUAGCCGGCCUGAGAGGGUGACCGGCCACAUUGGGACUGAGAUACGGCCCAGACGCCUACGGGAGGCAGCAGUGGGGAAUAUUGCACAAUGGGCGGAAGCCUGAUGCAGCAACGCCGCGUGCGGGAUGACGGCCUUCGGGUUGUAAACCGCUUUCGCCUGUGACGAAGCGGGAGUGACGGUAAUGGGUAAAGAAGCACCGGCUAACUACGUG